AUUGAAUUCCAAGUCAAAAUUCUAAGCCGAUUUUGUAUACAAUAAGUCGGUCUUAAAAUGUCGGGCUUAAUUAAUCAAAUAAAACUAGAUAUCUUAUCAAUAGAUGGCCACACUGUUUAGUGGAUCGUCUGCAGUAGAAAUUCAUGGUUCAUCAGAUGUGUCCUAGUUGUUAGGGAUUCGUUAAUAGUUAAAAAAAAAAAAUGGAAAUUGGUAAAAUGAAAUAACAUAUGACCUAUACCUUUAGAUCACUUGUUUUCACAAAUGGAGAUUUAUUCCACAAGCUUCCUAGGCAGACACCCACCCACACAACCAUGGGUGAUAAAUGAUAUAAAAGUUUAUUAAUUUAAAAAAUUUAGAUUUUAGGUUAUUGAUAACAGAGUCAGGAAACAAUGUGUGGAAUCUGAUAUUCUAGCCUUGGAAACCACAGAUGCCUUUCUGCUUUAACAAGGCUAUAAAGCAACUAUAAUUUCAGGAGGUCCUAACUCAGUGUACGUGGUUUACGCCCCACUAUACAAUCCAAUAAACUUCAGGCUGAGGUCUUCCAGUGCUGAGAAUUUAUUUGGCAAGCAAAUACUCAAUAAGGAGUUAGGUGGAACAGUGGAGAGAAAAAUAUUCGCGAUGGGCAAUUUGAGAUCCAAGUAGAAACGGAGUGGCUAUUGUUUAAAGGCUUAGAGACUCGGCAAAUGGUAUUACAUGGUUAAUGGUUAAAUGGUAUUGUGACAGCUUAGACAAGGUUGCAGAAGGGUUGCGUUACGUCGCAAAAUCUUCACAUCAUAUUAUUUCCGCUAUUGCUGAUAUUACUGAGUCCAGUUCCAUGAUUUGACUGAAAACGGACGAAAAAUGUUGCAUGCCUUCUUAUUCGAAAUCUGUGGAUUGCAAGGAGGUUUCACAUUGGAGAAACGCGAGCAGCAGUGUAACGAUUACAUCCGGCGCACGGUCGGACGUGAUAAGAUCGUGCUCAUGCUAGUAAGCGGUGGAGUCGAUUCCGCCGUUCGUGCUGCCCUUCUCCAUAAAGCACUUCUACAGGUGAUAACUCGUCGCGAGUGCAGGGCAUCUAUAUCCAUUCUUAUCUUUUUCUUUUUUUUUUAUUUUAUCUUUACGAAAAGAUACAAUAUGUUUGCUAAUUUACUUUAUUUACGUUAUUCAGCGACAGUUAACAAGCGUUUUAGUAAUUUACCUUGGGCUACUUGAAAUUAUUAUUACAAGUUUCAUUUAAGUUCAUGGUAAAAGUUGAAAUUCAAAGUGUAUGUCUAAUGGCACAACGGUAUAGCAUCGGAGCGGUACGUAGAAGAUUUAGGGUUCGAUUCCCUAAAGAGUUCAGUUACAUUCCAAUGUAAAAAUAAAUUCCAUUGGGAAAAUUCUGAUUUAUGAGUUACAAAAUCUCUAAGUAAAAUUAGAGUGCCUUAACCAAAGACUUGUAAAGCUCUAUUCUUCAACGUGGCUAUUGGUCGCAUAUACCGGAACAUUACAACUCAGAUGGAAAACGAACCCAUACUAUGAUGAUUAAUCCCAGUCAAUUUAAUGUUUGUUAAAAAUAAAAAAACGAUUAAUUAAUGUCACUACAUAUUAUCCAUCAUAGACACUGAAUUCCACUACAGCUGAAUGGGAUUCGAACCCAAGUUACAUCGUAUUCCAGUCCAUCGCUCUACCAUUGAGCUAUGAGAGAUACUACAUUGUAAUCUAAGUCUUCAACACAUUAAGGUAACUGUGCAAAAUUGUACAUAGGGGAUCAAAUAUCAAUGGGGGGAUAUAGGGGGGUUGCCAGAAAGGUAUCGCAUCCGACUAGCAACUCGAAGGUCCGUGGUUCGAUUCCACGUGGGUUCCUGAUGUCCUGGGCUUCCAACAUUCCCAGGGGUCUACAUUCCCAGGAGCCAGUCGGGUCGAGAAACUUCCCCAUUACGAAGUAAUGGGACGGAUAUUUUGGUAAUCUUUAAUACAAUUCUCAAUAAUAAAUUUUAAUAAAUUGUUUAUUUCGAUUUAUCGACGUGCCUGUGUUACUUAUACACUUUGCAACGGACUUUAACCAUUGUCAUCCCCAGCCGUAAGAUCUCAUACAUAUUUCAGAUUGUAAUAUAUAUUCAUUUAUCUGAAACUGUUGAUUAUUUUAAUAAUUUGGUUGACUCUUUCAGGAUUUGAACCCUUAAUCUGUGGCGUAUCGUGCCGAUGCUCUACCACUGAGCUAUAAGUCAUAUUAACAUACUGUCUACAUUUUCGUGUUAAUUGAGUUAACAAAUUUGGACUUAGAAUAAUUUUUGUAGCAUGAUUCAAGACAAUUUCCUUUUAAUAUGUCUAUAAUAAAUACAUCUAAUUGAAUUGCGAAACGAUUUACCAUAAAUUAAUGUGCUAAACUUCCGACGGGAUUUGAACCCGGAAACUUUAGAUCCAUACACCAACGUUCUACCACAGAGCUAUGAACCUUAUGUAACAUCAGUCAGGUUAGCACAUAAUUUUACGAGCCUAUAAAAAUUGCCUUUAUUAUCUUUUCGUGCCUUCUAAUAUUAGUGAAUAAUUAUUUAUAACUCAUGGCUCAACGGUUGAGCAUCGGCAAUGCACACCGAAAGUUUGGGGAUCGAUCCCCGAAAGAGUUAAAUUAAAUUCUGAGAAACUACUUCAAUACACCGUAAACAAAACUCUGGUAAAUAUGAGUUUCAACUAUGUUCAACAGAUAUCUACCAACUACAGAAUUGAGAUGUCAUCGGCAAUCAUUCAAAGGCAAUCCGGGAAUUCGCAGUACAAGAACUGCACAUCAGUGGCCAUC